rnacentral:misc_RNA from 1 species
AAGUCGUAACAAGGUAACCGUAGGUGAACCUGCGGUUGGAUCAUUAACAAAUUAUUUAGGCCCCUGGCUGCCCCAAAAGGGCGAAGGGGGGAAACCUAAACAUUUGUGUGCACCAUAUCUGUCUUUGGCAGUUCGAGUGUCUUGGGUGCGUAACUGCCUCAAGUACCUACCGAGGCUUUCCUUUCGGGGUUUGCCAGAGUUGGGCUGCCGCUUUUUUGAACAAACCUUUUGUUGUUUUUGUUUUGACUGAAUUUGUUUGAUCUUUAUGAUUGAAUUUAAAUACAACUUUUGACAACGGAUCUCUUGGCUCUC